GCUGGAACUCUAAAAUAAAGGCUAUGAACAGAUGGAAGAGGGAUUGGAGAUUUAUUUAUUGGAUGAAUGGCUUCUAGGUAGAGGUGUUGGGCUUUAUUUAUAAGUGUUAGGAGAUGUCAAAUUUAUUGGGCUAGACAAUGUGGGAUUAAUGAAAGGAUGGAAACAAGGAUUGGAGGCUAGGGUUUUGUAAGUAGAUUUGUGAGAGCCAUAAAUAAUGGAGGGUUGAGAUUUUAUUUAGGGAUCAAGGGCCAUUAGAUGGUGAGAAAAGAAGAGGCAUUGGAUAUGAAAGGAAGAAAGAAAGAAAAAAGGAAAGCGGG
rnacentral:lncRNA from 1 species